UACGGAGGGAGCAAGCGUUACUCGGAAUUACUGGGCGUAAAGGGCGCGUAGGCGGAUAGUUUAGUCAGAGGUGAAAGCCCAGGGCUCAACCUUGGAAUUGCCUUUGAUACUGGCUAUCUUGAGUACGGGAGAGGUGUGUGGAACUCCGAGUGUAGAGGUGAAAUUCGUAGAUAUUCGGAAGAACACCAGUGGCGAAGGCGACACACUGGCCCGUUACUGACGCUGAGGCGCGAAAGCGUGGGGAGCAAACAGG
rnacentral:rRNA from 1 species